GAAUUUUUUUUAUUUUGUGAUAAAAAACUUGACUAAUGUAAAUAUUCUAGUCUAAAACAGAGUUUUGAACAUCAGUGCGUUACAACGAGUAAAGGAAGGUUGGUUUUGGUUUACAAUUCUGUCAACAAAUCAUGCCCUUUUUGCCAAGCUCCACGUGCAAAUCGCCCCUCGGCUCAUGCAAUACAUGCUUCCAGCAGGAUUCACAACCAACAACUUUGGUUUGCAUGCCCUGCGGAAGGACCCUAUCAUCAUGCGGAAUAGAUGGCUGGAGUUCGUUGCUCUCCAGUGUUGAUAAAGUGCACAGUUGGGUGCCAGACUGAUCCCCGAUCAUGAACAGAUGCCGGAACCAACCAGAAGGAGAAAAUAUGGGAAUCAUGUCCAGCAAUGGUUUAACGACCUCCAGAAAUAAUUUUAUUCACUGGUCACUUGCUGUUUUGACAGCUUGUCAGGCAGACCUCCGAAUAAAAGUGUGUAAUGUGACACAAGUACCCUUGUGAAACCCCCUGCAUUGUUGCCAGUCUCCCUCAACCUCUAUGAAAAGGACACACCAUCAUGAGGCCUCUGAUAAAAAUCCAAUCAAAUUUUAUUGGUCGCAUACACAUGGUUAGCAGGUGUUAAUGCGAGUGUAGUGAAAUUCUUGUGCUUCUAGUUCCGAGAGUGCAGUAAUAUCUAACAAGUAAUCUAACAAUUCCCCAACAACUACCUAAUACACACAAAUCUAAAAGGGUGAAUGAGAAUAUGUACAUGUAAGUAUAUGGAUUAGCGAUGUCCGAGCGGAAUAGGCAAGGUGCAGUAGAUGGUAUAUACAGUAUAUACAUGUAUAUACAUGUGAUAUGAGUAAUGUAAGAUAUGUAAACAUUAUUUAAGUGCCAUUGUUUAAAGUGACUAGUGAUUGGGUCUCAAUGUAGGCAGCAGCCUCUCUAAGUUAGUGACGGCUGUUUAGCAGUCUGAUGGCCUUGAGAUAGGAGCUGUUUUUCAGUCUCUAGGUCCCAGCUUUGAUGCACCUGUACUGACCUCACCUUUCUGGAUGGUAGAGGUGUGAACAGGCAGUGGCUCGGGUGGUUGUUGUCCUUGAUGAUCUUUUUGGCAUUCCUGUGACAUCAGGUGCUGUAGGUGUCCUGGAGGACAGGUAGUUUGCCCCCGGUGAUGUGUUGUGCAGACCGCACCACCCUCUGGAGAGCCUUGCGGUUGCGGGCGGUGCAGUUGCAGUACCAGGCUGUGAUACAGCCCGACAGGAUGCUCUCGAUUGUAAAUCUGUAAAAGUUUGUCAGGGUUUUGGGUGAUAAGCCGCAUUUCUUCAGCCUCCUGAGGUUGAAGAGGCGCUGUUGCGCCUUCUUCACCACUCUGUCUGUGUUGGUGGACCAUGUCAGUUUGUCUGUGAUGUGUAUGCCCAGGAACUUAAAACUUUCCACCUUCUCCAUUGUGACCCAAGUUUUUGCCCAAGUUAUUGCCUCAACAACAACAGGUAAUGUGUGAUGUGAAAAGUUGCAUUAAAAAAUACCCGGAUUGAUAAAAAAGUAGGCUAACAUUAUUUGUUGCUUAUUUUCUAUUAGAUGGAUAUAAUGUCUAGGGCAUAACCUAGCCUGGUGGAUUCAGCCUGAUCGCUGUGUUCUCCAUUCUAUUUCUCUUCACAUUUUAUGAUAUCUGAAGUGAAAUAGAAAGGUAAAUGCAGUGAUAAGGUUGUUUCCACCAUGCUAAUCAUAACCAUCAUUGGUAAUGUAAUCAGUGCUCCGUGUGUGUGUGUGUGUGUGUGUGUGUGUGUGUGUGUGUGUGUGUGUGUGUGUGUGUGUGUGUGUGUGUGUGUGUGUGUGUGUGUGUGUGUGUGUGUGUGUGUGUGUGUGUGUGUGUGUGUGUGUGUGUGUGUGUGUGAUCGACCAGUAUCUCUGAUGAGGGACACAGAGCUGAUUUACGUUGCUAUGCCCAUCAAUGGGUCUCUGGCAAGGACCUCACCUCUUGCCUGCUCACUCGAUGGGGAGAACAGAAUUAGAAACAUGUAUGGAGCCAGCACAUGGAGACUUGCAAGAUGAUGUGAUGAAGUACAGACUGACAGACAAGCUUGAUACUGAUGUCUCUGAAUAGAGAGAGACCUGGCACUCGGCAUAAACACUUUACUCGACACAA